GACGAACCGUGCGAACGUUGUUCGGAAUCACUGGGCUUAAAGGGCGCGUAGGCGGCUUCGCAAGUCGGGGGUGAAAUCUUUCGGCUUAACCGGAAAGUGCCUCCGAUACUGCGGAGCUCGAGGGAGGUAGGGGCAGACGGAACUUCCGGUGGAGCGGUGAAAUGCGUUGAUAUCGGAAGGAACGCCGGUGGCGAAAGCGGUCUGCUGGCCCUCUACUGACGCCUGAGGCGCGAAAGCCAGGGGAGCAAAGCGGG
rnacentral:rRNA from 1 species